GAUGAACGCUGGCGGCGUGCUUAACACAUGCAAGUCGAACGAAGCACUUUAUUUGAUUUCCUUCGGGACUGAUUAUUUUGUGACUGAGUGGCGGACGGGUGAGUAACGCGUGGGUAACCUGCCUUGUACAGGGGGAUAACAGUUGGAAACGGCUGCUAAUACCGCAUAAGCGCACGGCAUCGCAUGAUGCAGUGUGAAAAACUCCGGUGGUAUAAGAUGGACCCGCGUUGGAUUAGCUAGUUGGUGAGGUAACGGCCCACCAAGGCGACGAGCCAUAGCCGACCUGAGAGGGUGACCGGCCACAUUGGGACUGAGACACGGCCCAAACUCCUACGGGAGGCAGCAGUGGGGAAUAUUGCACAAUGGGCGAAAGCCUGAUGCAGCGACGCCGCGUGAGCGAAGAAGUAUUUCGGUAUGUAAAGCUCUAUCAGCAGGGAAGAUAAUGACGGUACCUGACUAAGAAGCACCGGCUAAAUACGUG
rnacentral:rRNA from 1 species